GAGAUAUGGAACCCUCGUGCUUGGCUAUGAAACUUAUGGGAUGCAGCCGUCAUGAUUGCUCAAAAUCCACCAGCGCAAUAUCAGACCGGACAUGGGCCAACUUCCUUUAUUCUUACAGGCGCAAUACAAACAGCGAACUGAGAAAGAUGCUGGGGGCCAGGGCGGAGGAAAGACGCUCGUACACGUCUGGUUUGGCGGCCAGCUCCUUCAGUGUCUGGACGCGCUCCUCAGUGAAAAGCUUCUGGUCUGAAUCCUCAUCCAGCCCGUGAAGGCGCUUCUCGUCCGUCUUACGGAAGUGGAUGACGUCGAUGUGGGUCUUGUACACUGACUUCACGGUGCUCUGGCGAGGGUUUUCCCGCAUAGGAACCGCUCUGUAGAUCCCUGUUGUGGAGAUGAGUUUAGUAAUGACGAUAGUCAUUUUUUGUUUACGAUCCAACGUCACGUUAGUGAUGUACUUGCAUCCUGACAUCAAAAAGCUCUGCAGAAGGAUAGCUAACACUGUUGGGAGUCUCAUAAAUCUUGACAAACUGACUCACCAUCUGUUUGUCGGAGAAGGCAGAGCGGUUAUGGAUGAGGGCCAGGCUGUGGGUGGUGUUGCAGUUGCGGCACACUGCAGGUUCUGCGAUGCGGCCACGGUCCACCUCCACACGGGUAGAGAAGGCACACACCUGGCACUGGAAGAAGGCCUCCUGCAUCUCUGGGAUCAGCUGGGAGGUCCUGAUCACCAUGCCGCUGAUGGUGAUCAUCUGAUCAAUGUCUGGGAGGAGAGCGACAGCGAGGCAAGAUUGUAUUAAAAACGAAUCAUUAAACACCAGACCUGGGUUCAAAUAGAUAUUUAGUCCCAAGUGUGCAAACCAUUUAGCACUCUAGGACGCAUGAUCAAGUGCUUGAAAUUGAAAGAAAACAAAUACAUGAUUCACUCUUCAUAUGAUUGUGUAACAGAUCUGCAUGAGUUGUUCAGGGAAGCUAGACAUCCAUAAUAUGACAUGGCCUAGGCCAGGGGUCUCCAGACAGCUAGAUCUUUUUCCCACAUUGUUACGUUACAGCCUUAAUCUAAAAUUUAUAAAAAAAAAUAUAAAACUAAAAUUAAUCAAAUUUAUAAAAAUAUAAAACUG